rnacentral:rRNA from 1 species
UAAUACAUGCAAGUCGAGCGGACUUACAAAAGCUUGCUUUGUAAGUUAGCGGCGGACGGGUGAGUAACACGUGGGCAACCUGCCCUUGAGACUGGGAUAACUUCGGGAAACCGGAGCUAAUACCGGAUAAUAUGAGGAACCUCCUGGUUCCUUAUUGAAAGAUGGUUUCGGCUAUCACUUAAGGAUGGGCCCGCGGCGCAUUAGCUAGUUGGUGAGGUAACGGCUCACCAAGGCGACGAUGCGUAGCCGACCUGAGAGGGUGAUCGGCCACACUGGGACUGAGACACGGCCCAGACUCCUACGGGAGGCAGCAGUAGGGAAUCUUCCACAAUGGACGAAAGUCUGAUGGAGCAACGCCGCGUGAGUGAUGAAGGCCUUCGGGUCGUAAAGCUCUGUUGUUAGGGAAGAACAAGUGCGAGAGUAACUGCUCGCACCUUGACGGUACCUAACCAGAAAGCCACGGCUAACUACGUGCCAGCAGCCGCGGUAAUAC